UACAGAGGUCCCAAGCGUUGUUCGGAUUCACUGGGCGUAAAGGGUGCGUAGGUGGUGAGGUAAGUCGGAUGUGAAAUCUUCCGGGCUCAACCCGGAAAUGGCAUUGGAAACUACCUUGCUUGAGGGUUUGAGGGGGGAUUGGAAUACUUGGUGUAGCAGUGAAAUGCGUAGAUAUCAAGUGGAACACCAGUGGCGAAGGCGAAUCCCUGGAAAAUACCUGACACUGAGGCACGAAAGCUAGGGGAGCAAACAGG
rnacentral:rRNA from 1 species